rnacentral:rRNA from 1 species
UACAGAGACUGCGAGCGUUAUUCGGAUUCACUGGGCGUAAAGGGUGCGCAGACGGCCAGGUGUGUGGGGCGUGAAAGCCCGAGGCUUAACCUCGGAAUUGCACCUCAAACUACAUGGCUAGAGUACUGGAGAGGGUAACGGAAUUCACGGUGUAGCAGUGAAAUGCGUAGAUAUCGUGAGGAACACCAGAGGCGAAGGCGGUUACCUGGACAGUUACUGACGCUCAGGCACGAAAGCGUGGGGAGCAAAAGGG